rnacentral:rRNA from 1 species
CAAUAGCGUAUAUUAAAGUUGUUGCGGUUAAAAAGCUCGUAGUUGGAUUUCUGCCGAGGACGACCGGUCCGCCCUCUGGGUGUGUAUCUGGUUUGGCCUGGGCAUCUUCUUGGAGAACGUAGCUGCACUUGACUGUGUGGUGCGGUGUCCAGGACUUUUACUUUGAGGAGAUUAGAGUGUUUCAAGCAGGCACACGCCUUGAAUACAUUAGCAUGGAAUAAUAAGAUAGGACCUCGGUUCUAUUUUGUUGGUUUCUAGAGCUGAGGUAAUGAUUAAUAGGGAUAGUUGGGGGCAUUCGUAUUUAACUGUCAGAGGUGAAAUUCUUGGAUUUGUUAAAGACGGACUACUGCGAAGGCAUUUGCCGAGGAUGUUUUCAUUGA